UACGUAGGUGGCGAGCGUUAUCCGGAUUUAUUGGGCGUAAAGGGAACGCAGGCGGUCUUUUAAGUCUGAUGUGAAAGCCUUCGGCUUAACCGGAGUAGUGCAUUGGAAACUGGGAGACUUGAGUGCAGAAGAGGAGAGUGGAACUCCAUGUGUAGCGGUGAAAUGCGUAGAUAUAUGGAAGAACACCAGUGGCGAAAGCGGCUCUCUGGUCUGUAACUGACGCUGAGGUUCGAAAGCGUGGGUAGCAAACGGG
rnacentral:rRNA from 1 species